rnacentral:lncRNA from 1 species
AAGAAAAUCCAUAGACGAGACCAACUGGGACCGAACCUUUCUAUCUUCUUCUUUCUCUUUUUGUUCCCGCCUGCCGAGGACCUAUGUUUCAAUAACGAUGAAGGGCUACUAGAAGGGAAAGGGCUUCAGGAGAGAUGGUUAGAUUGGAUGGGCGUAGUUGAUCGAUCGAACUACGAUGAUUGGAAUGAAGACAGACAGACUUCCGUGCGAAAGACAGAACGGCAAAACUUUAUUAUUAUAUUAUUGCAUUUUUCCUAAACUUCGUCAAGCCUAUCCGCUCAUUUGUUCCAAACCAGAGUUUCUAGUUUCAAGAUCGCGCUUUUAGUACGCGUGUGGUGAGAUGUUCCAAGCCCGGUAUCUACUGAUU